AGAUUUUAAACCACACGCUGUUGUUUUGCUAAAAUAUAAUGAGAUAUUACUUUUGUUUGUUAACCAAUUAGUUAGAUUGUAAUAAUUAUGUUAGAAAUAUUAUAGGUUCAUAAAUGUAGUGGUGUUGGGAUGCAUGUUGUACUGAACAACAAUGAGAUAUUUAUAUGCUUUAAUUGAUAUGUUAGUUUGUUAUAAUUAUGAUAGAGUUUAGAUUCAUGAGAAGAAGAAAGAUAUAAUGCAAUAUUUAUAAAUUUAGAAUGUAGUAGUAUGGUCUACUCACCACAUUAGAAGAACACGUUAACAUAUAAAAGUAACGUUUAACCAAAUCUGUAUGCACUAAUGUUAGACUGUGAAUAUUAACUUAGGUUUUAAUCGUAUAACAUAAACGUAAUAUUUAUACUGUUUGUUACUAGAAAUGUUAGGUUGUAUGCAAUAUGUUGGAGUCUAGGUUAUUGAAAAUAUAGAAAGACAAAUGUAAGAUUGUGUAGAUCAGAGAAGGUACCACAAAUCUAAAGUAGUCUCAUCUAGUGACCCUAUAUUUCCAAUGUUAGAUUGUAACUAUAUAAUUAGUGUUACAUCAAAGAAGGGGAACAAAUCUGUACUUAUCUAUGUUCGUAUGUAAGUAUUAGCUAAGAUCCUAAGAGAAAAUAACGAAUAUAUAGCCUCAUCUUGUCACCAUAUAUUUCUAAUGUUAUAUUGUAAGAUCAGAUAAAGAUAACAAAUUCAUGACUGGUAUACGAUAGGCUGUAAGUAUUAACUUAGUAUCUAUCGUACAAUGUGAUCAAGACUAUACUAAAAGGAGGAUAACAAGAGCAAAGAGAGUGUCCACGUCUGCUAAAAAAAUCAUCCAAUCAGAUGAUUUCACUUGACACAUCAUACUACAUUUAUAUAUUUCAUGCGACAUCUUCUAAGUGGGCUGUUUAUACUUUAAAAAAACCCAUAUCAGCCCAUGGUCACUAAAUCUCUUUGGUAUGAAAGCGUAAAGUCCCGACCCUUCUCCUUCGUUUCAUAGACGAAUUUCUCUGUAAAUUUUCGUUUGGAGAGUAACGUACUAACACAACUAAGCUAUUCUUCUCCCUUUUGUAUUUUUGCCUUCCUUCUCUUUAUAUAUGUCUCUUGAAAUAUCUCUUCACCUACUCACGCUUCCGUUUCUCACAUCUACAAUUGUGAUCUAUCUCACGUCUCUCUUCCUCAUAAAGAGUGAGGAUGAAGAAGGUGAAGGUGUGAAUAUCAGUGGUUACUUCAUCAUGCUCGCGUUCACGUUCAUUAUCAUUUCAGUCCUCGCACUUCCAUUUUUUUAGUUGUUGUGUCUCACUGCAGGUAAGUUACGUUAGACUGACUUUUGUGACUAUCAUUAUGGUGUCGUUAAACCUCUUGACAAGUAAUGACCAUUACGGUAAAAUCCAUUCAUAUUCCCAUUUAUUUUUGUCAUGCUCUCUAAUGGACUUGAAAUUUACAGAGUCCAGUGGAGUCAAGACUCAAAACAUGCUUAAUACUAUGAGUCAGAUUUGUUCUGGAACAAACAGUAAUAUGGUAGUUAAGUUUGUCUUUAACAUGCCAUAUUUUUACUCUAUUCUGCCUUUUGAAGGCUGUACCAACAGUAUACACAGAUGUAAGUUGACCCACAAUUCAAUCAAAUCAGGUAAUGGCGAUGCCCUUAAAUAUUGAACCUUAUAAUCUAACAAUUCUCUUCCUUUUCAUAGUAAGAGUAGUUGGCACAGCUCUCAGUGACCAAACAUGUUAAGAGCUCGGAAGCAGGUCAGCUCUCAUCAAGGAAAAUGAUUACGUUUAUAUAGUUCUGAUAUGGAUUUCUCUGUUUUACAAAAGCUAUAUAUAAUCAGUAAAUUCAGAGCCAGAGUCUUGCCAUUUCCAUACAUGUUUAGUUUUGUUUUCAAAACUUUUACCAAAUUUUAUUCAUAGAUUCUAACAUGGCCAUGUAUGUAGGCUAAGUAGCAGGUUUACAAGGCGUCUUCUAUGGAGAAUGUGUCCUUCGCGAGCUUAGGAGAGGUUGUCCAGAUAUUGUAUUUCCCAUGGGGUUAUACAAAUUCUAAAACCGUAGAUAGUGUUAUGAUACUUAAUGUCUCUGUUGCAGACAAACAAUUAUCUUUCUCAGCUUGAGGGAACCACUGAGGUCUUGGUCUCACUCCCAUUUUGUUUCCAGUACAAAAAAAAAGAACAUGAUUACUUCUAUAUUAUAUAUCUCAAUGUUUGGAAUUUAAAUAGUAAAGAUUGGAAUAAUUCAGCUUAUUUUCUUUAGCUCGAGCGUAUAAAGUCACAUUUCUUAUGAUUACUGAAGCAGGAGCGAUCCCUGUUUUGGUGAACCCUUUAACCUCAUAGGAAUUCUGAUCCAGUACUUGCUUCAUCAGCCUCUCUAUAUGAAAACAACAUAUGGCUGAUAUUGUUUUCUGGUGCAGUCACUUCAAUAUCUCAAGUCCUUAAAGCUGGAACAUGGAAGCAAGAGUAAACGCAGACAUGUGGAUGAAGCUUUCAAACGAUUUACAUCAGACAUGUGGAUGAAGCUCUCAAACGUCAGACAUGUGGAUGAAGCUCUCAAACGAUUUACAUCUAUUUGGAUCCAACUGCUGCGGAAACGUUUGUAUCAAAGAAAGUUUAUCCUGUAGAAAAGUCAUGGUGGGCAAGGUUUAACAACUACUCAGUUGAAACAGUAUGAUCUCUUUCAUGUUGAUCAUACAAGCUUCUGUCUUUUCCCAUGAAUUCAGACUCCAUUGGUUUGUUCCAACAGCAAAUGCUUCUACAAGUCUCACUGAUUGUGUUUCUAAUAAACGGUUUCAAGCCGGAGACACCAGUUGUAUAAAAGAAAGCAGAGAGGCAGAGCUAGAGAGAAUUGUGAGGCUGAAGAAAGCAAAGGCAGACAUUAUCCAGCUAAAAGCUAACGAAGAAAAGCGGAGGCUGAUUGGUGGGUUAUUUGUAAGGACGUGGACAAUAUUCGAACGCUAUAUGCAGAGCUGUUUUCAUUACUUGAUUUUCUAACGCUACCAUCAGUUUAUUCUUACCUUCAUCACCUUAUCUCUUAAGAGUUGCACAUAUUUUUUAUUUCUUUCUCUAGAGAAACAGAUACUUAUCAUUCAUUUGUUCCUAAUAUUGAUCACUCUCUUCUGUUUUUCUUUGUUUCAGGUAUGUGCAGGUUGCAGAGUUUAAACACCUCUGUGUUAAGCUAACACCAAAGAAUGCAUACUUAUGCCUUUUGUAAGCCAUGACAGAACUCUCAAGCUUCCAAAAGAAUAUGAUACUACAACCACUUGGUGUUUGUGCACCAGUAUUGGAAGGAUCCUAGGUCAGUCUUAUAUGCAUGUUCCAAUGGCAUUGUGCAGCGGUAGCACAAAGUACAUGGUAAUCCAAUGAGAGCCAAAUGCUGUCAUUCGAGGGAAGAAGGGAGGCUUGGUGACUACCUGAUUGAAUCAGGGCUCCGAAACUCAAGCUGCUGCUAUGUUCAUGUCACCAAUAUUUUCUUACCUUCUAUCAUGCGAUGGAUCUCGGGAUUGUAUGAUUCUAAAGCAGUCUGGUAUUGUCUUCAUUUGUGUCAAGUUGAUAAUUUUAAUUCAUGGCAGUGUCGUACCAUAGUUUUUAUAGAGUUUAUGAUUAGUUCUAGAGAUUAAUCUUUAUGUGGUGUGUUAAAAAAAAAUACUUUUGUUAAUCCUAAUGUGUAAUUGAUUCACAAGAUCAAAGGCACAUGUAAAUUACAUUACAAGUUUACAACUAACAAGUAAUAUAUGUACAUCGAUUC